rnacentral:rRNA from 1 species
GAUGAACGCUGGCGGCGUGCCUAAUACAUGCAAGUCGAGCGAACGGACGAGAAGCUUGCUUCUCUGAUGUUAGCGGCGGACGGGUGAGUAACACGUGGAUAACCUACCUAUAAGACUGGGAUAACUUCGGGAAACCGUAGCUAAUACCGGAUAAUAUUUUGAACCGCAUGGUUCAAAAGUGAAAGACGGUCUUGCUGUCACUUAUAGAUGGAUCCGCGCUGCAUUAGCUAGUUGGUAAGGUAACGGCUUACCAAGGCAACGAUGCAUAGCCGACCUGAGAGGGUGAUCGGCCACACUGGAACUGAGACACGGUCCAGACUCCUACGGGAGGCAGCAGUAGGGAAUCUUCCGCAAUGGGCGAAAGCCUGACGGAGCAACGCCGCGUGAGUGAUGAAGGUCUUCGGAUCGUAAAACUCUGUUAGUAGGGAAGAACAUAUGUGUAAGUAACUGUGCACAUCUUGACGGUACCUAAUCAGAAAGCCACGGCUAACUACGUG